GCUGGUGUAGCGAAGCGGUCGAACGCACCUCUCUUGUAAGGAGGUAUCCCACACCGUCGGUUCGAAUCCGACCGCCAGCUCCA
rnacentral:tRNA from 1 species